AGAACCUUACCAGGUCUUGACAUCUUUUGAUCACCUGAGAGAUCAGGUUUCCCCUUCGGGGGCAAAUGACAGGUGGUGCAUGGUUGUCGUCAGCUCGUGUCGUGAGAUGUUGGGUUAAGUCCUGCAACGAGCGCAACCCUCGUCGUAUGUUGCCAGCGGUUAGGCCGGGCACCCAUACGAGACCGCCGGCGUCAAGCCGGAGGAAGGUGGGGACGACGUCAAGUCAUCAUGCCCCUUAUGUCCUGGGCUACACACGUGGUCGACGCGGCCG
rnacentral:rRNA from 1 species